GGUACUACAUGUACAGGAUAGGUGGGAGGCUUUGAAACCAGGACGCCAGUUUUGGCGGAGCCAUCCUUGGGAUACCACCCUUGUAGUACUGGGACUCUAACCAUAGGCCAUGAAUCUGGUCUUGGGACACUGUCAGGUGGGCAGUUUGACUGGGGCGGUCGCCUCCCAAAAGGUAACGGAGGCGCUCAAAGGUUCUCUCAGUACGGUCGGAAAUCGUAC
rnacentral:rRNA from 1 species